rnacentral:piRNA from 1 species
UAAGUUUGAACCACUUUGCGUGUCACUGC